rnacentral:rRNA from 1 species
UGGGGAAUAUUGCACAAUGGGGGAAACCCUGAUGCAGCGACGCCGCGUGAAGGAAGAAGUAUUUCGGUAUGUAAACUUCUAUCAGCAGGGAAGAAGAUGACGGUACCUGAGUAAGAAGCACCGGCUAAAUACGUGCCAGCAGCCGCGGUAAUACGUAUGGUGCAAGCGUUAUCCGGAUUUACUGGGUGUAAAGGGAGCGUAGACGGAUAGGCAAGUCUGGAGUGAAAAGCCCAGGGCUCAACCCCUGGGACUGCUUUGGAAACUGCAGUCUGGAGUGCCGGAGAGGUAAGCGGGAUUCCUAGUGUAGCGGUGAAAUGCGUAGAUAUUAGGAGGAACACCAGUGGCGAAGGCGGCUUACUGGACGGUGACUGACGUUGAGGCUCGAAAGCGUGGGGAGCAAACAGGAUUAGAUACCC